CCUUCCCAAUAUGUGCCGCCGCCGGCCAGCCUCCAUCCCGCGCGCCCGCCGGCGACCCUCCAGUCCUCCACCUCGCGCGCCAGCCGGACACCCUCUACCUCACGCGCCUGCCGGCCACCCUCCAUCCUGCGCGCUCGCCGGCCGACUCCCUCCAAGCCGCACCGACGGCCUCACUUCCCGACGUGCCAGCAGUGUCCCUGCGCCUGCUCCGGCCGCCUCCCUCUACCAGCGCCGCCGUCUUCCCUCCACCCCAGCACUCGUCCUUCCUCCACCCCAGCGCCGCCGGCCUCCCUCUCACCCCCUCCGGUUCCCUCGCCCACCGCCACCACCUUCUCCCGCCCCCGCCGCCUCACCAAGAUCCACCGGGGCCUCUGUUCCCACUGCUGGUGUGACCGUCGCCCCCACUAACACCUCCAUUCGCCGCCACGGACGCAGUGGCCCCGCGUGCCACCGCCUCCUCCUUCAGGCCAGUUGGUUCCGUCGGCCUCCUCGCCGCAUCCGUCCAAUUUCGGCGGGACCUCGGCCGGCCAGACACACUCCCUCGUACUGUCGUGCGUCCUUCAUCAAACGGCCGGACCCGGUGUCCUCCUCCAAUAUGUGCAGAGAAGCUGCAGAACAAAAAUGAAAGAAAAACCAUGUUUUAUAUUGUUGUUAUUUUGUUGCCCUCAACGGUAGUCUGUGGCACUUGGCAAUUUUUCAACGAGACGACAAUGCGGUUAAAUAGCAGCAGAGAAUUGUCUCGCUCUCUGCGCCUCGUUGAAAAAAUCGAGCAUCGGCAUCCUUCAGCAGUGAGAAGCUGUGGGGGUCAAGUACGUCCAACUCGGCAGUCCAACUCGAUAGUCCAACUCGGCGAGAUUCACUUUAUCGUCGCCCCAUGUUAACUAGCAAGACCUUCUCCGCCGGCACUAUCAGUAGUCUUACUUCUCCAUGACGACAAGAACAACAACGCCUGAUGGAUAAUUUGACAAAGAAUUUUGAGUCGAACAAUGGCAAAAAUUCAGAGGAGACAAUGGGAGAAGUUCAAAGAAAAUUCGGACUUGUAUAGUAACUAAGGAGGAAGCAGCAGCGCCGCUCGGUCUAGGAAUCCAGGUAGCUGUCUCCCCCUGCACCCUUCCCAUGGAUCCCUAGAUAAGUUCAAAUAUCUUAGAACAGAUAAUUCAACUUGUUUCAACGGCAUCUAAUGCAGAUGGCUUGCAUUUUGUGCUCCGUGUGUGUUUGUUCUUAUUCCUAAAAGAAAGAAAAAAAUGUAUUGCAUUUGAUAGUUCAUCCGAAUAUAUAUCAACAACAGUGCAAUGGCAGAAAAAACAUCAGUUCAAAAUGUAUGUGCAGGAGGUUUGGGAGCCAAAAGGCUGAUAUUUUGUUGUGUUUAAAUUUUUCGGGUGCAUGAUUGAGCAAGAUAUAAAUAAAAAAUGAUGUAUGAUAUAUAUUCUUUUCUUGUAUGAGGUUCAAAUAUUGUCGUGGAGCAUGUUCAAGAGUUUAGCUUCCGUGAGUCGUCCAUCGUCUUCCCACAUCUAGCAUCAGAGUCUCUCCCCCCCUUGUCGCGCACACAGUCCAGGCUGCCGAGCACCUCCUCAGGUGAGAGGGCGGUGAGGCCCUACCAUCUCCCGGUGAUGGCUUGUCGGCACCCCCUGCAGAUUCACCUCUCACCAUGGGACAGAGUCUUCAUGUAUGAACUAGAUCGUCGCCUACAAGCUCUGCUCCAGUUCAUAGCACUGGCUCUGGCAGCCACAACGCCCCAUCUUCCCUGGCUCCCACACCACCGCGCCAUCUCCUCCCGGUGGGGCUCCGCCACUGGAGCGACCUGGCUGUUCACAGCCACCACGUCUGUCUAUUCACCUGUACAAAGAUGUCCACAGGCCGAGAUCAUCUUACAUGUCAAGCACCAAACCGACACCCCUGGUACCCACCGCGACUUGUGCUGCUGUUGCUAGUGUGGAUGUGUACCAAGUUCAACUACCAGUCUACUCCGAGUUCAGGUAUAUUGUCGUGGACGACCAAGUUCAGGGAUGCCUCUGUCCCUAAGGCAAGUUGUAAUAGUCCUAUUUAGUACUACUUGUUAGCGUUUUUUAACUCUCUUCAUUUCUUUAUAAUAUGUUAGUUCAAUUUUGCUAAUUCCUACAAUUCUCUAGUUAGAAAACCAGUGGAUCAUUUUUUUAGUUCCUGUGGUCUACAAAAUUAUUUGACCACCGUCAUUGGCUGUUCUUCUUCGACAUUCCUAAAGUUCAGGUUUUGUCGUCUCAUCCUUGUAUCUCUAUGUAUGUUCAAUCGUUGCUCGCUUAAGAGUUCAAAAACGAAGAUUUCGAGAAGUGAUCUCUAAAUAUUUUCUUGAUCACUAAACAUGACCAAUUGUAGCAUGUUUCCUGAAAUAUUUUAGCAUGUUUUAUGUUUUCAUCGACAAAGUUCACACACUACUGUCUCGGACGUUCAAACAUUUGUUUCCCUGAUGUUCAAAUAUUAUCGUCUAGGAAUACAUGCUGUAACUUCGAGAGAAAAGUUCAUGUUGAUUACUGCCGUCAAGUGUAAAAGUUCGCCAAUAUACAAUCUAUAAUUUCAAUAUCCAGUACAUUAGUUUAGUAGUUGGUACUAACUACUCCAGUGUUUUAUUUGAUGUACCUGUGGUGUCUAGUUUCUUCUGUCAGGUCAAUUUCUAAAUUUCAUCCAGUUCAAUUCAUAUUGUAGCUCCAAUUUAGUCCACGUGGUUAAUUGUUGGAGGGUGUGUGUGUGUGCAGGGUACUGUGAUAUUGAGUAGGCGUGGAGUGUAUCACUCCAGCACGCUAAGCUCCAGUGCAUGUCAACAUCUUCUCCACUGUAAUGGAAGCUCCUCCGUUCGAGUUGAGCACUAGUCAUCAUCCAAGUUGAGCACUAGGUGCCGUCCAAGUUCAAAGAGGGUUGUAUGCAAGUACAUAAGUUUGUUUUAGUGAGAAAAAUGCAGGGUUUUGACAAUAUUCUGUAUAAUUCAUUUAUUCAACCUUAGAACUUGGCGAUAUUCGGCCUAUUUUUCUA